UCAGAUCUUAGAGCUCUAAGUUGAAACCAUUGUUUCAUACCUGAGCUAUUUGGUCUUGAUUAGCACUCGGGGACCCUCCGUGCCGUUGAUAUUCCGUGACCUCUCGCAUUACCUGGUUAUUUCACAAGAACAACAAAGCAAUCUCAGUACAUUAUGGAGCUAUUCCAUAGGACGAUGGUCAUGAUUCUAGGGCGGACCUGUGCCUUAGAGCCUAAAAAUGAAGUUUGAACUAGCUUAAUUACGUUUUGAUUUCUGUACUCUCUUUCUAAGACAAUGUAACACCUUUGUUUAUAAAUAAAAUACAACUUGUAUGC
rnacentral:lncRNA from 1 species